rnacentral:rRNA from 1 species
CACGUAGGCGGCGCUCUAAGUCAGGUGUGAAAUCCCCCGGCUCAACCGGGGAACUGCACCUGAUACUGGGACGCUCGAGGACGGUAGGAGUGAGUGGAACUCCAGGUGGAGCGGUGAAAUGCGUAGAUAUCUGGAGGAACACCGGUGGCGAAAGCGGCUCACUGGACCGUCUCUGACGCUGAGGUGCGAAAGCUAGGGUAGCAAACAGGAUUAGAUACCCUGGUAGUCC